rnacentral:rRNA from 1 species
UACGUAGGGUCCGAGCGUUGUCCGGAAUUACUGGGCGUAAAGAGCUCGUAGGUGGUUUGUCGCGUUGUUCGUGAAAACUCACAGCUUAACUGUGGGCGUGCGGGCGAUACGGGCAGACUUGAGUACUGCAGGGGAGACUGGAAUUCCUGGUGUAGCGGUGGAAUGCGCAGAUAUCAGGAGGAACACCGGUGGCGAAGGCGGGUCUCUGGGCAGUAACUGACGCUGAGGAGCGAAAGCGUGGGGAUCAAACAGG